GUUAAUAAAUGUAAGCCAAAACAAUAACUUUUCUGACUGAGUCUGUUUAUAAUUAGGUAAAUUCCGAUUUCUCAAUAAAACUGGAUUAACGAUGUUUACAAUAUUGCGGAGGUUACCUACGUGUUGGAAAAUUGUAAAAUAAUUCAUGUUACAAAUAGUCUCGAAAGAUACUUAAGUUUUUGUAUAUUUACUUUGUCGAAGGAUAUCGCAAUGUGAAUGCUGACUGCCACCGUCCCAUCUUGAGGCGUGAGGCCGAAAUCUCAGUUGAAUUAUAGAACGGCUGUCUCAGCACUUAAGCCGAAACGCACAACUACUUCCGCCCAGAAAUAUGCAGGAUGGUACCAGCCUUUUACCAGCCCGUGGUUACUUGCAGUACGACUUACCACCGCGCGAGUGCUGCGGGGGCGGCCGAUGGGUAUUUCUGAGUGUGACGUCAUAGCGCCGCAAGCCCCGGCCUCCGCGCAAAUCGCGUAUGGCUCCUAAGCCCGCGUGCUUACGCGCUGAAGCGGGUUUCAACAAUCUGAGAAAUGGCUAAUUUUAACAUUUAUAAAAAUAUUGUUUAUUCAA